UCGGAUAUGAUGUAACGGCUAACAUUGCCGCCUCUCAUUUGGUUGCAUGUAUUGACGCGGCAGCUCGGGGUUCGAUUCCCCGUAUCCGAA